AGAAUCAAUGGGUAGGACAGUAGUAAUUAUCCCAUUUUGAACACAACAAUUCUCCUAUACAAGUUCUUCUGUCAUUAUUAAUAUAUAUUUACCAAGCCAGGCUGUGAAAGAGGACAUGUGCCUAACCAAGAAUGGGACUAAUUGACCUGGUGAAACAUGUGUGCAGAAUAUUCCAUUGAAUUAUAUGAGCCUCCACCUGCAUCCCAAAAUGGUAUAAUCUUGACAGAAAUGAAAGGCUAUAUGAAACAAGAGGCUCUGAGUCAAAACUAAAGAACAGGAAGGGCGUAGAAUUUAAUCUGGCCGGCUAGAGAUCUCAAUACAACCAAGAAAGGAUGUACAGAAUGUCCACUACACACUUCAACUCUUACCCUGAUCACAAAAGUUAAUGGAGAAAGGCGGGUGGACUGAGACGGAAGCCCACUUCUCAGAGAUUGGAGAUAAUGUGAUGAGGUUGAACAUACCCAAGCCAUUUUGACAUUCUAGAAAGAUGACAUUCCUAACCAUCUCUACAGUAUGAAAAUGGCAGUGUUUAUCUAGCCGUUAAAAGAUGGAGCAGAGAGCGAUUUCUGAUGGAAAUUCAGAAGCUGCUGACAUUUGGCGAAGACAAUAUUGGCCUGGAUUGAUUACUUCAGCUCCCUAUUUCUCCCUGAUGUUCCACAAUCCCAACUUGGGAACGUUGCCUUAGCAGAACCUCCAUCUUUUAUCUUUUAGAAACAGAAAAUGAAGAAAUGAAUAUAGUUAAAAAAUAACAAGUGUGUCCCAUGAUGCAGAUAGAAAAGUAAAAACAGAUUUAUCCACCUGAAGAAGUUGAAAACAAUCUGAUUAUACUAUUAGCAUAUCUGUUUAGAUAUACCUCAAGGUGCUUACACAAUGAAAAAAGUUAUGAGAGGGCCUCUGUAAGUUACAAAUGGCUAUAAAAAUAUCUUUAAUUUCUCUGACCAACGUUGUCAGCUUCCCUUAAUAUGUUCAAUUAUAAUUCCAUGCUACAUUUUAAUAGAUUACACAAAUAUUAAAGUACUUUUUUGGUCAUGACAUCUUUCAAAAUUUACUGCAACUGAAGAAACAGAUCUAUUUGGGCCUAAAGAGGAAUCAGUAUAUUUUGCCACAUGAUUUGCUUUCUUUGAACUUUGGUGCUCUAAUGUCUUCUGAAGAUGAUUCUUGCACAUGGAUGUCUGUUUUUGCUCUUCCCUUCCAUUCUUGACUUUUUUUUCUUUUUUAGCUGGUUAUUGCACUUCGGAAUUAUGCAUAAUUAUCUCCUCUUACUCUGCACUGUUUUGGAAACACUGUACUGCCUGUUUACACUAUCACUCAGAUUUAUUAGCAGUCACUCUAUAAGUUACUCUCUUAGAUUGAAAACGGAAACUAAGAACAGUAAACCAUAAACUUUGGGAAUACAAUA